UAGACAGAAAGUGAAGAGCAGGCAUCAGAAGACAUGUUUCCUCAUCAGAGAACAGUAGAACUUCAUGUGUUUUCGUGCCAGGAAAGAGUCAGAACUCAUCAGAGCCUCUUAGAACAUAUAAGGGAGACCAUGUGUCCUGGUGGAGAAGAAGCAGAAAGGAAGAGGAGACCAUGGGAACCUGGCCCUCUUCUGUCACUGAGCAGCCUCAGGGGUAUCAGGCUAAGCUGGUUGGGGAUUUAAAGGGCAGAAGAAAAGGGGUGGAGAAGCAUGGAAGAAAGAAGAACCCACAAAGUAGCAAGUGACUGGAUACAGGUUUGCUGUUUCCCACUUAAUUUGGGAUUGAUGUGUUUUCCAGCUAUAGAAAACUGAUAAGGUUGAAAAGAGAGAUACAACAGAAUAAGUUUGAAAUUAGUAAUGAUAGAAAUGUUUAUUUCCUGCUUGCCACCUGCUAAGUACAAUUUAUCUAGUUACAUGAUCAAAGAGAUGCUAUACAGAGUCUAGAUUCACUCCCUCCCAGUAUUCUCUGCUGCUUAAAUACCUACCUGAUUGUUCUAGUGACUGUUCUCCACCCAGUCAGCACUGCUUCCCUUGGGGCAUCACCCACAAAACCUGUACAGCUUCCAGCUGUGACCUGGGCUAGAAAUAGAAGUGGAGAUGAGGAUGAGGUUUAAAAGGCUCAGGAACAAAACAAAUCUCACAAGCUCCUGAAACUUACAACAUUUACAAGCCUUCCUUCUCAAGGUCAUAUAGGCAGCCACAAUUGCUAGACAGAGGAGAAUGACUUACCUGCUGAUAGUUUAAAGGUGCAUGGGAUGUGCCUUUCCUCAGUUGGCACUCGGUCUGGGUAGGCUUUUCAGUGAUACAACUGCCUUUGAGUCACACGUGCUCCUUAUACGUAGCCCCUCACACGUUCUCACGCCAUGGUAUCAGUGUGGGGACCCAUGGAGCACUCAUGGGAGACACUUCUCCUUCCAGCAUCUAACAUCCAGGGACCUAACUCUGGUCAUCAGGCUUGGCAGCAAACACCUUUACCCACCCAGCCACCUCACUAGCUUGUGCACACUUCUCGCUGUGAGCUCAGUUCAGCCCAGCCCUGCCAGCUUGUGUUUCAUUCCCUGCCUUCCCCUGCCUCCUAAAGAGGAAGGGAGAUACAGAGACAGGGGUGCUCCUUGUGCACACCCACCUGUUCCGGAAUUCCUUUUAGGCUCUGUUGUGGUAGGCACGGGCCACACUGGGAGCCAGAAACCUGUAGGCAGGGCCUGCCCUACAACACUAUGGGUUCAUCCUUCCCUUCCUCCCACCUGCAGCCCUGUGGAACCAUCUCGCCUUCUCUUAGCUCAAAUUGUCUUGUGUAUAGGAUGAGAACAGAGAUUCUUUCAACAGCCCUCAGAACCCACGGAUACGAUUAAGAGUGGGUCAUGGGUUCUGAAUUUAUGUGCAAACUUAUUUCCACACACGUUAUUUUGAGAGAAGCGUUCAUGUUUAUCAUGGCACCAUAUUAAAAAAAAAAAAAAGCCUGGGUGCCCACUGACUGAAUCAUGGAUAAGGAACAUGUAGUCUGUGUACUCAGGGAAUAUUGUUCAGCCCUAAGGAGAAGCAACUGGAAGUCGCUGAGUGAAAGGAACAGAGACAAGAGGGCAACGCCACACGUUUUCUCUCAGGUGAGGAAGCUGAGCUCCACAGGACUGGAUGCAGAGCAGUGGCCCACAGAGCCGGAAGGAGCGUGGGCGUGCGUAGACAAAGGUGUACACUGCACUCCUGUGUGAACGUCUCACACAUACACCAACAGUAGGUACAAUUAUUAUGCAUUCAUUGUAAUUAAUGAAUAAUAAUAAACAUUUAAAAAUAUUUAGCGGUACACAAAAAUUUAGAGACCCAUGUUCUAGAACAUUCCCAGGCCUCUAUAACACAAGUCUGACUGAGGUGACAGCAUUGGGAGUACAAGUGUGAGGGUUCGGAGGCAACUGAGUGGGCCUGUGGGAUGUUCUGCAGAGGAAAGAAUCCUCAGAAUGGAGUUGGCCUCAUCUGUCUAAAAUCCACAUCCUGUGGGACGACCCUGAAGACCACAGGAAGUGAGUCCUGGACAGAAGUCCUGGUAGAGAAAGAGGGCUCAGCCCCCAGGGCCUGUCUGCAGGGUUGGAAGGGAUCCCUGGUUUGACUUCCGCAGAGCAUCGGGUAGAAUGCAGUGUGUGGUGCCUCUAAUGACAUUACAGACUGGUGUUACAUAAACCUGUUACAUAAACCAGUGUCCUGUGGUUGACCAGGAAGGUCCCCUGCCCCGAGGCUGACCUAAUCCCAAACCUAAACGCUCUAUCUUCAGUUGGGUGGUUGGUUUAAUCUGCUCCCCUGUCUCCUGUCAGCCUGUACAGACCUAGCAGCUCGAAUCUUCAGCAUCCUGGGACCUCCCCCUGCUACAUCUACCCUCUAGCUCUCCCCAGGGGGUCUCCCACAGCUCUUCCAGCCCCUCCCACAAUGGCUGCUCCAGAAAAGCACAAGAUACUGUUGAUCCACAGAAGAGGGUAACCAUCUCCAGUCCUGCUUUGUCUCCAGCUAAGUCCCAAGGGUCAAUAAGUAAGUAAAAAUAAAUGAAUUCCCAUGAAGAACAGAGGAAGAGUCUGCCUGAGGCCCCUGGGGUUCAUAAAUGUGUCAGCAAAGGCUAGAUAUGGUGGCACACGCCUUUGGUUCCACUCAGAAAUUGGUGGAAUUGAUUAGUUUUAUUACCUUUGCAAAGACACAAUUUCCAGAUACAUGGCCUCAGAGCUGUAGGAGAGCCUGAAAUGAAGUCUCUCCCAGAUGAAGGCAGAGGCAGGUGGAUCUUUCUGAGAUUGAAGACAGCCUGGUCUACAUAGUGAGUUCUGGGCAAACCAGGGCUACAUAGUGAGACCCUGUCUCGAAAACAAAGUAAGCAAAAUAACUUGUGCAGACAAAAAUGUUGUUCUGUCCUGCUUCAGCAAUUCCCAGUGACGUGAGCCCCAGAGCCAGCCCCCAGCCUCCAGGCACCUGGAGCCUUCAUUUCAGGCUCUCCUACAGCUCUGAGGCCAUGGAUCUGGAAACUGUGCCUUUGCAAAGGUAAUCAAAUUAAGAUGAAGUCAUUAGAUUGGGUCUAAUCCAAUAGGAUCUGUGUCCUUAAGAUAAGACACAGAAGCCCACAGAAUGAUGGCCUGGGAAGUCAGAUGAGGUCAGAAGGGGAGAUGGAGAAGCGUCCACCAGAGAAGGGGCAGCUGGGACAGAGGCAGAGACCAACAUCUCCAUCCUUCACUCCAAGCAGAGUUAAGGUUCUGCCAGCACCCGGGCCUCAGCCUUACAACCUCCAAUCCAACAAGAAGACAGGAGCCGCUUUGUCAUUUAGAGCCUCCCAGACCCUGGUACUCUAGUAAGAAGACUCCAGGAAAGGAAUAUGGCGCCUUUGGUGAAGGGUUCUAGGCACAGACUAUCCUCCGAUUUGUGUGAAGGGUGGACAGUAGGGGCAGAAGAAGACAACAUUAAAAGACUGGAAAAUUCCCAAGCUGCUAUCAGAUACCAGGCUAGGUGUGAGGCAGGGCCUGGAUGGUGUCACCUGUCUGUGAUGCCAAGCAUGCUGGGGGUCUUCCCCAACCCUCACAUACUCUCUAAGUCCUGCCUGUCACACAGCUGGCCUGCCCUUGGGUCAUCUGCUGGGACACUUGUUUCCCAUCCAAAGUGCCUUUAUUCAGCAUGUUCCUCAAUACUCUUUCCAUGAAAACUUGGCUUUACCCAGCUUGUUCAUUUCCAGAUGACUUAAAUUGCGUCUUCCACACUUCGUCACAGACUGCAUGUCUCUGAAACUGAAAGUGGCUCCGGGAACGUUUGUAACUGAGACCCAGAUGCAGUAUGCAUUCCUCGCUGUGACAGUUGUCAUAGUCUUGGGCAGAGGGGAGGAUGCCCUCGUCUUCUUUCCCUGGAGACAGACAGUGAAUGCCCUGGGUGUGUGGAGCCAUGCUGCCUGGAUGGCCAGAGGCCCAGACCGCAACUCUGAUAAUCCUGUCAACUUGAUUCAUCUUCUCAGAGAUGCCUGCUGACCAUCCAGGCAGAAUCCUCCUUUUUAUUCUUUUCCCCAGACGCCUCACACAUAGUUGUCUUACGUAGUCAGCUGCUGGGUCCAUCUAUGAUUCCACAUUUACAGAGCCCAGGAAUAUGAGGAUGCUCUCUGCAACGGGCUACAGCAUCAUUCACAAGAGCCACUGGGUAGAAACAACCUGUAUCACUGAGAUGAAUAGAGAAACAAAAACUGUAGACACACAAGUGGGAUAUUAUUUAGCCUUUAAAAGGAAGAAAAGUGUGUUCAAAGUCAUAUUAAAAGACUAAAAUAAAAAUAAAGGAAUGUUGUGCCUAUAA